CAAUCAUCAUCCCACCGGGUCCUGCCCGGGGGGUUGGAAUUGGGUGUUGCCCUUUGGGGCUCGCCUUAAAUGAAUCGGCGGCCGUUCUGGCCUGUUGUCCGGCGUAAUACGUUUCGCUGUGCACCAGGUUGGUGGCCCCCUUGAAACCGCCACUUAUGUGGAAGCAUC
rnacentral:misc_RNA from 1 species